rnacentral:rRNA from 1 species
CGGGGUGAGGAACACAUCGGAAUCUACCCUGUCGUGGGGGACAACGUAGGGAAACUUACGCUAAUACCGCAUACGACCUUUGGGUGAAAGCGGGGGACUCGCAAGAGCCUCGCGCGAUUGGAUGAGCCGAUGUCCGAUUAGCUAGUUGGCGGGGUAAUGGCCCACCAAGGCGACGAUCGGUAGCUGGUCUGAGAGGACGACCAGCCACACUGGAACUGAGACACGGUCCAG